UAUUCAUUGAAAAUAAAAUGCUAUAUUAAGUAGUAAAAAAUUUAGAAAAAAUGUUUCAUCUCAUGAUAAAUUAUAUCCCACAAAUGUAAUCAGAAAAUGAAUUAUGCAAAUUGUGACACUCUAGGUGUCUUAUAUGUUGAAUUGCAAUUAGAAAAUAUGAAAGCAUUAAGAUGUGCCAUCAUUGAUAUUAUUUUCUUUGCCUGUAGAUGGCACUGUAAUUUUAGAUAUCUUCCUUAUUUAUUUUAUUUAUUUAUUUAAUACUUUGGCCAUAUGUAAAGAAAGAAUCACUGAACUUAUUUCAAGUCACAAUAAAAUGUAUUCAGAUACUGUUCAUGUAGAAAAUUAUUUUAUAUGCCUGUAAUAUUUGACAUGUGACUUUUUUUUCCAUUUAAGGCCUUGAAUGUACUUUGGACCAUAUGCUGACCAGUCACCUAGGUUUUUGCAGUUCUGAGCAUUUCAGUCCUUCAGAAGAAUAAUCUUUGAAUUAGUUUUACUUUUCUAGGUUGCUCUUGAAACUGAGCAAUAGUGCAUCAGGAUUACUGAGGUGAAACAAAUUGAGGUUUUUGUGGCUUACCCUGAACUGCAAGUCGUAUGCAGCUUCUGAUUCAAGUAACAUUUAUUGAGGGUUUGUUGUGCCAGCACAUUCACUUUUCUCAUUUUAAUCCAUAGAUCCAACCUUCAGGUAGGUGGUAUUUUCCCUGAUUUUAAAGAUGAGGAUAGGGGCGCCUGGGUGGUUCAGUCGGUUAAGCAUCCAACUUUGGCUCAGGUCAUGAUCUCAUGGUUCAUGAGUUCAAGCCCCACAUCAGGCUCUGCACUGACAGUGUCGAGCCUGCUUGGGAUUCUCGCUCUCCUUCUCUCUCUGCCCCUCCCCUGCUCUCUGUCUCAAAAAAUAGAAUAAACGAAAACAAACAAUUAAAAAAAGAAGAUGGGAAUAUAUCUGAGUGAUUUACUGACCUAGUUAAGGUCAAACAAGAUAGUGUGUGGUUAAACUUGAUUAUGCUUCAUGGAUCGGUACUGUUUUUUAUCUACCUAAUAUUUGCCUUCUGAAAACAUGUUUUUUUGUUAAUGACUUUCAUUCCCACUGAUUCAGUAUUACUUGCUCCUGAUUAAUAGACGUACUGGAGCAUGUCUUGAGAGAAACAAGAUUUCUUUUGAGAUUCUGAGACUAAAAUAAAAGUAAAGCAGAUCCUUCAGGAAAUUCCCAAAUCAUUUUGGGUUAUUUUCCAGAAUACUUUGGGACUCGUAUCACAAUGAUAGACAAAAUUAUCAUAGGUCAUAUAGGAGGUUAUUUUAGAUGGUACCUGGCACAAUAGUAGUAUUGUUGAAAAAGCAUGGUGAGAGAGUUGCUGCUUUUUUUAGAAAAUCUUCUGAAACACUAACGACAGUGUCUAGCAUCUAGUAAAUUCUCAGUGCCAGCUAGUGUUAUGAUAGUUAAUGUUACAUUACCGUGCUGAUGAAAGUUUUACGGUAGAUUGGUUAAUGACUUCCCCCUUGAGAUCUGAUCUGACUCUGUCUUUGCAUAAAGUAAGUAUAAUUCAGCACACUUUUAGAUUUACGUAUUUUUUUGUAAGCAAAAAACACUUUCUCAAUCUGGGAAUUCAGCAAUUCAUUCAAAUUAAGAUCUUUAAGAAUUAUCUAGGUCAGUGUUUUCAAUAUUUCCCACCUGGGAACUACCUUAGGAGACCAAAAAGAAAGUGAAGCCCCAGGUUAACAGUACAGAGUUUUAACAUAACAUAGGGAUAGGAGAAGAGGCUGCAGGAAGAUGCUGGAGUAAGGAAAAUAGGACUUUUCAUUUUUUUCUCUAUUUACCUCUGAAGUGUUUGGGUUUUUAAAUAGGAAUGUAUUUGUGUAUUAAUUUUACAGUUAAAAACCUUGACGAAUACGUACAGUUUAGAGAAGGUAAGGUAAGAGAAUUGAUGGAUUAUAGUUGCAUUAUUUUCAGAAUGGUUCUUCUGGUGGCUUAUGCCAACAUACUGCCAGAGAGAAAUAUGCAUUAUAUGUUUUAAUGGCACUAAUGACAGUUAAUAUAAAUAGUUUAAAGUUUAGUGCCUGUGAUAUGGAUUUUGCUUUCAGAUUCAGAAAGGUUCUUAGAGAUAGCUUGAUGUCUUAUGGUAUUUAGUCUAUUUUUCCUAAGCCCUUCUGCUUUACCUAUUUUUGAUAGGCUACCAAGCAAUGCCAAAUGCCUGACAUAAUAACGAACAGAUAUUUGAGUGUCCCUAAGUUAAAGGCACUCUGUAAGAUACUGUGGGGAAAGACAAAAUAAGUCAGAUAAUAUCUGUGCCUUUGAGGGAUUAACAGUGUUAUAUCCUUUAAGAUAUUUGAUUUGAAAUGUCAUCUGCAAAAAGAAUAUGUGGACUAAAUGGCAAGGAAAAAAACAAGCAGUGUCUUUCCAUUUCACGUAUGGCUCACUAUACGGCCAAUAAUAUGUUACUUGACCUCUCAGCACCUCAUUCUGAAUCCUUACAUGAUACUUAUAUUAGCAUUUCUAAGCAUUUUGAGAUCUCUUCUUAAAAUAUGCUUUGAACUAUUCAGUCUAAAUGCUGCUUUCUGGAAAGCUACUACUUUAAAGAAUGGGAAAUGGUGUUAAUGGAGUUAAUCUUGUGUAAUUUCAGUGUGGGUUGUCAGGAAUAUCUUUAAGUAAAGAAAAUGACUCUAAUCUUCUUAAGCAAUUCAUUUUCUCAGGCGCUGUGAGGCGGGAGCUAAUUUACUCGGCCUGUGUACAUAGACCCUGUCUGAUUAAAGAAAAAUUUUACUCAUGGAAAGAAGUCAGGACAUCCAUGAAAUUAUUUAAAUUUAGAUAUACUGGAAAAUAUUAUAAAAUAGAAGAUAUAUUAAAAUGUCUUUUUCAUUAUCAGUUUCCUUAAAACCCAACUCAGUCACCAAUAUAGAAAUGAAAUCCCUGUUACAAGGAAAAAAUUUAAUUACGGAGUCAAAACAAGAGCUAUUUAGUUGUUUUUAAAGAGAAGAGAUCAAAGAACUGGUCACUCCUUUACUGAGCACGUUCAAGCAGCAGGAUGGGAGUGGGGAGUGGGGAGGGUUAGGGAUUCAAUUCUUUAUGCUUUUAUUCCAAGUCAUCCUUUUCUGAUGAGUCUUAGUGACAUUCUCUUAGACUAGUUAGGUCAAGAUUCUGAACUUUUCAUUACAAUAGUGUUUUAAUCUUAGCUGAUUAUUGUUUCCACCCCCACCCCUAGUCAUAAAGGAUUAGUGUUCUUUUAAAAAAAAAAGAAGAUGAAGGCUAUUUCUAUAAAAAACAAACAAACAACCUUUAUAUGUUUUUUAGGGUUUAGUAAAUGGAUUUCUUUUGCACCUGAUUUUCAAAAGAAAAUUCAUUUACGUUGCAUUUUUUCAAUAAAUAUCUUAAGGUAAAUCUAAUAAAUUUUUAUGAUAUGUGAAUAAUAACAAUGCACUUUACCUAUUUAGAAGUGAUUUUAGAAAAAUUGAGAAGCAGUUAUUCUGAAUUCAAGGAGCAUUCUCCCAAGGCAUUGAAAGAGAAAUUUUAAUAUCAUCGUGAAGCAUUUGAUGAUUGUGUUUUUCUUAUACAUCUUGUCUCUAGUUUUGAUUAUUGUGAUAAUUUUCUAGCUGGCUGCCUCUAUUCUUCAUUCUAACCAGUCCAUCCUGUACCCUUGUAAACGGAGAAAUCUGAUCCUGUCAUUGUGUUGUGGCCAUUUAGCAUUUCAGUGGCUUCCCAGUAUCUAUGUUAUAAAAGUCCAAAUCCCUAAACAUAGCAUAUAUAUACCUGCAUAGUAUGGCUUUAAAUUAUCUUUCAAGUCUCGUCUUCCACCUGUUCCAUAAAACAUCUUUUUUGUUUGUUUGUUUUUGAGUUUAUUUACUUAUUUUUGAGAAAGAGAGAGAGAGAGAGAGAGGGAGAGAGAGAGAGGCAGCACAAGCAGGGAAGGGCAGAGAGAGAGAGGGAGACACAGAAUCCGAAGCAGGCUCCAUGUUGUCAUUGCAGAGCCAGAUGCUGGGCUCAAACCCACAAAGUGUGAGAUCAUGACCUGAGCCAAAAUCAAGAGUCGGAUGCUUAACCAACUGAGCCACCCAGACGCUCCAACAUACUUUUUAUUUUCGCUGUUUGCUCUUUUCCAAAUAGUAAUAUUUUCUAUGUUAUGCAUCUCAGCCUCCCAUUCCUGUUGACAGUGUCUCUUCUUGCUUAGUUUAAAUAUCUUGUCUAUUAAAUCUGUGUUGUCAUAACACUUGUAUAUGUCUGUACUAUCUCAUUACUCAUACUAAUUUGAUUAAAUAUCUGACUCCUCUAUCUAUUAAUUAUUCAAAGGCAUUCAUCUCUGUACCUUAGGGACCCAUCAGUGUUAUAACAUAAUAGGUUAAAAAUCCUGAAUGAAUACCACAAAUAUACUUUAGUAAAUUUAUUUGGCAAAUAUAUAUAUUGUGAUAUAUAUAAUUUCAGGAAAGUUCUAAAAUAGUUUUUUUUACCCUCACAGAAAAUUUAGUAGAAUUAGGUCUCAUUAGAUUGCUUUUCCACUUUUAUAGAAUUGCCAAAAUCAUUUUAAUAAUUUCAUCUUUGUCAUUACUACCUAGAAAAUGUCUACCUUUUAUUUAAAUAUUAAAUGCAUUGUAGAAUUUCAUUUACUGCUCAGAAAAAGCUCUCAAGGGUAUAACUAUUCUUCAUUUCACAAAUGAAGUGUCUAGAGCUUGAAGAGGUUGGGUAGUUUACUCUAAGUGGCAAAGAGAGUUUAACUUAGCUCUUUAGUUUCAAGGCCCAUGGUGAUGCAACAUGUCUCCAUUCUCCACUGUACUUAACUAGUGGAUAGUUAAUUCGUGCCUAUCUCUUAUUGACUUGUAUAUUUCUAAAACUUUAUGAUAUUGGGGCAGAUUGGGAGAAGACUCACUUUAAGUGACAUAAUGAUAAUAGCUGUUAAUCACUGAGCACUAUGUGCUAAGCAUUUUACAACUUACUAGAACAUACCUGUAGAAUAAGUACUGUUGUUAUCUUCGUUUUGUGGAUGAGGACUCGGAGAUUGAGUGCAAUUAAGAAACUUGAGAAAGAUAAAACAUGGAGCCAGAGCUGAAAACUGGAACCUUUUUCUAAUAGAGUCCAGAGACCCUUAAACCAUCAACUUGGUUUGAAAUUAAAUGACAGUGACUCCAGUCAGGUCAUAGAAGCCAACACAGGUGUUCUUUUGAAGUCACCUUAUCCUAGGUUUUGAGUAAAUGUUCAAAUACAUGAACAUCACAGAAAAAAAGCAAGGCAUCAUAAUUGAGAGCCUGCAGAAACAAAAGAUAAUAUAAAUAGACCUGCAAGACUUCAUAAUUCUAGAUACAGAUGUCAUGUUUACUCUUUUUAAAAGAGUAAGAGACAAGCUUAAAAAUGUACAGAAAACAAGAAGCUAAAACAAUUUAGCAUAGGGGCACCUGACUGUUUCAGUCUGUAGAGCAUGUGGCUCUUGAUCUCAGGGUUGUGAGUUCGAGCCCCACAUUGGGUGUGGAAAUUAAUUAAAAAGAAAUACUUUAAAUAAAAACAAACAAAACAAGCAUAUUUGAAAAAGGACCAAUAGACUUUCUAGAAGUGAAAACUUUAAUAAUCAAAACUUAAAACUCAUUAUAUGAGUUUAAUGACAUCACACAAAAUUGAAAAGCAAACUAGUAAACUAAAAAAUAGUUCAGAAGAAAUCCAGAAUGGAGCACAUGUGAGAUUAAAAAAAUACAGAGGUGAGACAUGGAGGACAGAGGAGAUUUCAGAUCAUUUAAUUGGAAUCUGAAGGAAAGGAAAAGGAAUAAGGUAGAGGCAACAUUUUAAUAGAUAACAGCUGGGAAUUUUCUGAAACUAGUAAGACACUAAAAUAAGGAUUUAAGAAGUCCAGUGAAUCCCAAGCAGUGUAAGUAAAAAGAAGCCCACAUUGAGAUACAUCAUAGUGAAUAUGCAGAGCAUCAAUAAUAAAAAGAAGAAUCUUACAAGCAUCCAGGGAAAGAUUAUUCUCAAGAAAUGACUGGAGUGAUAGCUAAGUCUCCAGAGAAUUGAUGGAAUAUAUUAAAAUAACUGAGAAAGUUUGCAAGUGAGUACUGACUCACUCAAGGAAAUUCUAAAACAAAGAAACCCACAAAGAAACAAUAACAAAAAAAUGCUUCAGGCAGAGGGUAAAUGAUCCCAAAUAAAAAAACCUAAAGUGGGGAAAAUGAAUGAUGAACAGGAAAAGUGGUAAAUAUGUAAAUAUAUAUGUAAAUAUAUAUGUAAAUCUAUAAACAUUGACUUCGUAAAAUGAUAAUGUCUGUAAUAUCUGCUGGGUUACAAAAGAAUGAUAAAUUAAAACAUAGAGCCUGGGAGGGAACUUAAAGGAGUUAAUGAUCUAAGGUUGUGUUAUCUGUAAAAAAGGGUAAAUAUGUUGAUUAACUUUGGUCUUCUGUAAGUUAGAAUUGUGUGGUAUAAUAUCUAUAAUAAUCACUAAAAUAAUAAAACCAAGUGUAACAUCCAAACUAAGUAAGCAAGAUGAUUGCUCUAGUGUGUGCCCCACAAAUUAGAGCUUUGUGGUUAGUUUGAUAUACUUGAUAAGAGAAAUUUGAUGAAAAUACAAGAAUCAUUUACAUUAUCAUGAAAAAUUUUCAACAUUGAUUUUUUUAAACAAUAGGAAGAGUUGUUAGCUUCUUCAAACAUAAUUUCAAGUGCUGUAAACUUUGUAUGAUUGUAAAAAAGAGAUUCAAAAUUUACUAUUUUCUAGACAUUGUCACAAACACUUUACUUAUUAAUUUUUAAUCAUAAACUUUGAAGUGUGUGUAGCCAUUUCACACACAGAAUCCACUACUGAAAAGCUCUGGUCAAAGAAGCAACUCAAAUUUCUUAUUAAUGUUUUGAAAAUACUUUGUUUUGAAACUUUAUGUUAACUCAAUAUUUAGUAUCUUCUCCUACUGUAGUUACAGUUAGUAUAGUUAUAGUAUCUUCUUCUACUGUAGCUGUAGUUAUUUCAUUUUCUGAUCAUAUUUAUAUAAAAAAGGUAAUAACAUGUUUUUCACUAAUUCCUACUCCUAAAUUCUCCUCAGUCUACUGAGGAGAUGGUACAGAUGUCAUUUUCUACAUAUGAGGGAAAAAGUUUGGAGAAAACUACAGUAUGUAGAGCCAGAUGGAGUUCGGGAAGAGGGAGAAGGGAAAAUUCCUCAUUAUCUUUAAUUAUCCUGCAUUUUAAGGCUAUAUUAAAAAAAGAAAAAAUAUUAGAAAAUAUUUAUGUCUAUAAAUAUGAAUACUCUUAUUUUUUUCCUUUUCCUUUUCCUUCUCUUUUUGGAUCAUGCCCCUGUGCUCUCACUCUGCAUUUGACAACUGACUUGAUCAGUUCCAUAGCCACAAAAAGUCAUAAGUCGUUGGUUUCAUAAGAUACUUCUGUGACCUUUGUACUGAUGGUUGCUUAGUGUUCCCAGAAGGAAACUCACUAGGAGCCAGCCUUCAACUUCAAUGCCUACUCUAAUUUCACAGUGAAAUAUAUCUUUGUACUUCUAACCCUGUCCCAGGUCAUCCAACUCUGCUAGGUAUUCUUCUUCAUGUCUUAAUGCUCUAAGAAAAGCUGGAGGCUCUCCUACGUUUUUCUCUGCCUAUUUCUGAAGUGUUAGAAUGCUUAUUUUAUCAUGCAUUCACUUUCUAGGUGAGAAAUCAAAGUAUUUUGAUAAUCAGGUGAAUUGCUCUAGUAAUUGCAGCUGAAUAAAAUCUCCCUUAGUAGGAGUUGUUGACAAAUAUUCUACAUGUAUUUAAUAAGACAAAUUAGAGAACUUAAUAUUUUAAGUCCUUGGUUAUUGAUUUUACAAUUGUGUUUAAUGUCAUCCAAGAGAGUAGACAAAACAAUAAGUCUUAUGAGAUAUGAGUUAAACUUAGGUCUCUGGUCACUUAUAAUAUGAAUGUGGUUGUACAAGUGAGCUUUUCCUCCUGAAGAUCAUAUAAAAGCAAUAGGGAAAUCAACAUUUUUAAAGCUUACAAACAAUAUAAUAAACAAACUUAAAGUACAUGUAAGAGCUACCAAGGGCCCCUGAGACCUGAAAAAAAGUUGCAUGGUAAGAAGUGAAAAAAAGUGGCAGAUGGGUUCAAUAACAGUAGACCUCAAAAGCACACACAUUUAAAAAAUAAAUUUUUUUUCUGAAGGUGAGGGGCCUGCCCUAAAGACAAAAAGUUCUAUCUCUUGUUAGGAAGGGUAUGAGAAAUUGAGUAAGCAAGGCUGGUGACAAAAACCCUGCUGAACUUGGUUUGGGGCUAAACAAAGCAUUGCAAACAAUGAUGUGUUGCAUUUGUGAAAAGCAGAAGAGAGAAUCUGAGUUAUAAAUCAUGAAAGAUUACUUGGUUUCUGUGUUCUAACCUAGUAUCUCUAUCAAAUAACUGGGCCAGGAAAAUUGAACUCAUUCAAUAAUGAAUAAUGAAGGACACUGGGCACAACCUCAACAAAAGUUACUCUAAGAUAAACAUGUGGAAGAGAGGUACAAAAUUUAUCAGCAGAUCACACAAAGGUAGCCAUAAAGAGGAUAAAAGUUGUGGCACACACUUUUCUGUGUUAAAGCAAUUGUUUCUACGAAGGAAGUUACCAAAAAAGAAAUGGAAGAAGAAACAAAAAAAACAUAGGAAAUACUAAACAAAAGGAGGAGGAGAGGAAAUCUGAGAUAGCAGAUUUCAAGAAAGAUGCAGAAGCCAAAAACAAACCAUCAAAGAAAUGAAGAUGAAAUUGAAACAAGUACCAAAAAAAGUAGAUGAUGAGAAAAAUACAGUAAGGGACAGAAAAUAUAAGGAGAAUAAAAUUGAACUCUUACAAAUAUUUGAAAAUUUAAGCACACAUGCCUGCAUGCAAGGAAAAUCAUAAAACACAAUGGUUAAGAUGUAAAAGGAUAACAAAAGACCUUCAAAUUUGUGGUCACAAGAACAUCUAAGACAGAAUUUAAGAAUAUACUUUUCUAUGGAAUUGAAAAAGAAUCUUGGAUUCCUGGAAGGCUUGAUGGACUGAGUACUGGGAUGAAUGAAUUCUUCCUAGCUAAGCAGAAAACCAUGAGUUUCCAUAUCUGAGUGUGGAUAAACUCAACCUAACUGAAGCUGUGGGCCAGCCUCAGAUCAACUCAAAACCUAGGAAGAAUCCAAAUAAACAGCCUUUCUUUCCAACAGUCAAAUGAAGAAAGAACUUGUACUGUUUGAGAAAUAGACCAACACUGGUCCUUCAUACGUAAUGUUGGGAAUGGAGUUUUUAAAAGAAGGCUUUCAAUGAAGCAAGAAUGUGUGAUCCAUACUGAAGAGAAAACUUACUGGUGAAAUAUUAAACAGUUUCUCCUAAGAUCAGAAGAAAGGAAAUGAUAUCUGUACUCACCAAUUUUGUUACAUACUAGAGGUCCUAGCCAGGUCCAGCAGUAAAGCAAAGAAAAGAAAUUGAAUGCAUUAAGUUUGCAUUAUUUCUUUUGGAAGACAAUAUAAUAGUGUACAUAGAAAAUACCAAGUUAUCUACCAAGAGAACAAUACAAACAGCUACAACUAAUAAAUAGUUUUAUCCAGUUCACAGACCAUAAGGUCAAUGUACAAAAGUCAAAUUUGUUUCUGUGUAAUAGUAAUGAAUAAUUGGACAAUGAAAAAUUUUAAACAAUACUAUUUACAACUAUAAAAACAUGAAAUAUUUACAAAUAUACUUAAUAGAGCUUACAUAACUUCUAUGCCAUUAACAAUGAAACAUUUUUGGGAUUAAAAAAAAAGAACCUAAGAAGAUGGAGAGAGGAAUGAUAUUCAUUGACUGGAAAUCUCAAUAUUGUUAAGAUGUCAGCUCACCCCAAAUUGGUAUGUAGAUUAAAUUAAUUGCCAGUCAAAACACAACCAGCUGUUUGUGUGAAAAAUGAUACAAAUGCUUUGGAAAACUGACAGUUCUCAUAAAUUUAAACAUACUCUAUUGUAUGACUCACCAAUCCCACUCCUAAGUAUAUAUCAAAGAUUGAUGAAAACAUGUCCACAAAAAAUUACAAAAUGUUAUACAAAAAUGUUCACAGUAACUUUAUUUAUAAUAAUAACUGGAAACAACCCAUGUCUAUAAAAGAAAAGUGGAUAAAGAAAUGGUAUAUUCAUACAACGGAAUAAAAAUUUUUAAAUACACUAAAUUUAUAAAUAUCAAAAACAUUGUUUUGCAUGAGAGAAGCCAGAAACAAAAGAGAAUGUGCUGUGAUUCCAUUCAUAUGAAGUUCAAAGCAGGCAAAAUAAACUAUAGUAAUAAACAUCAGGACAGUGGUUGCCUCUGAGUAUGUUGGCAGGGGGAGUGAGCAGCAGGGUUCAGAAUCAGAGGGGGUUGGAUCCAAGGGCUUGAAGGAUCUUUUCCAUGUGAAGGAAAUAUUCUGUAUCUUGUUUGGAAUGGGGUAAAUGGAUUUGUAAAUUUGUUAAAACUUGUCAGACUGUGUGCACUUAAGAUUGGUACAUUUCACUGUAUGUAGACUAUACUUGAAUAAAAUUAUAAAAUCUG